rnacentral:hammerhead_ribozyme from 1 species
AUUCAGCCGAUGAGUUCUAAAUAGGACGAAACACACAUCCUGGAU